UUUAAUAUUUAAUGUACUCUUUCCAUUUUUUAAAAAUUUUGCAUUUACUUAUUAUUGUAUAUAUAAUUCGUAUAUUUAUAUAUUUAUAAUAUUUACUUAUUAUUUAUUUUUCUAUAUAUUGUGUAUUUCUCUUUCUUAUACUUUAUAUUUUAUUAAUAUCUAUUUUUUAUAUUUUAAGAUAGAUGUUUAAAUAUUAAUGUAUUUUUUCAUUUUUAAUGUAAAACGGCAAUGUUUUAAAGAAGAAUUUGGACAAAUAGUCAAAUAGUUAUAUUUAUGUUUUUUUUCUUUUUUUUAUAAAAUGGUUAUGUUACAUUAUGGAGAUAAACUGUUUUUUUUUAGUAAAAAAUAGUAAUUUUACAUAUGUUUAAUGUAGUUUUUCCAUUUUUUUCAUGCUGUAUGUUUACAUAUUAUAGUUAUUUUUAAAUAUAAAAUGGUAAUCUUACAUAUGUUUAAUGUAGUAUUUCCUUUUUUUAUGUUGUAUGUUUACAUAUUAUUUAUUAUUUUCAAAAUUAUAUAUAAUGUUUUUUUACAAAAUAGUAAUGUUACAUUAUGGAGAUAAGAUGUCUUUUUUUUAGUGAAAAAUGGUAGUCUUACAUAUGUUUAAUGUAGUUUUUCUAUUUUUUUUAUGCUGUAUGUUUAGAUAUUAUUUAUAAUUUUCGAAAAUUAGUAAUAUUAAAAUGUAAAACUAUAUUUUAUGCCACGUGUCAUCUUUCGGGAGAAGUUUUUUUGGCUGAUGUGGACGCUCUAUGGAGCCUCAAAGAUAGAUUUACAUUUUAAGAUAGAUGUUUAAAUACUAAUGUACUUUUUCUAUUUUUUUAAAUUGUGUAUUUCUUUUUCUUAUACUUUCUAUUUCCGUAAUAUCUAUAUUUUAUAUUUUAAGAUAGAUGUUUAAAUCUUAAUAUAAUUUUUUCCAUUGUUUUUAAGUUGUGUAUUUCUUUUUCUUAUACUUUCUAUUUACUUCAUAUCUGUAUUUUACAUUUUAAGAUAGAUGUUUAAUAUUUAAUGUACUCUUUCCAUUUUUUUAAAAUUUUGCAUUUACUUAUUAUUGUAUAUAUAAUUCAUAUAUUUAUAUAUUUAUAAUAUUUACUUAUUAUUUAUUUUUCUAUAUAUUGUGUAUUUCUCUUU
rnacentral:lncRNA from 1 species